rnacentral:rRNA from 1 species
UACGGAGGGUGCGAGCGUUGUUCGGAAUCACUGGGCGUAAAGGGCGUGUAGGCGGUCCGCUAAGUCUGAUGUGAAAUCCCGGGGCUCACCCCCGGAAGGGCAUUGGAAACUGGCGGACUCGAGUCCCGGAGAGGAAGGUGGAAUUCCUGGUGUAGCGGUGAAAUGCGUAGAUAUCAGGAGGAAUACCGGUGGCGAAGGCGGCCUUCUGGACGGUGACUGACGCUGAGACGCGAAAGCGUGGGGAGCAAACAGG